rnacentral:rRNA from 1 species
GGGGCCCGCACAAGCAGCGGAGCGUGUGGUUUAAUUCGAUGCAACGCGAAGAACCUUACCAGGGUUUGACAUGCUUAAAGUAGGAACUCGAAAGAGGGACGACCUGUAUCCAGUCAGGAGUUUGCACAGGUGCUGCAUGGCUGUCGUCAGCUCGUGCCGUGAGGUGUUAGGUUAAGUCCUACAACGAGCGCAACCCUCGUCGCUAGUUGUUUUCUCUAGCGAUACUGCCCGUAUAACGUGGAGGAAGGUGGGGAUGACGUCAAGUCAGCAUGGCCCUUACAUCCUGGGCUACACACACGCUACAAUGGGUGAUACAACAGGUUGCAAUAGAGUAAUCUGGAGCCAAUCCCUAAAAUCAUCCUCAGUACGGAUUGCAGGCUGCAACUGCCUGCAUGAAGUUGGAGUUGCUAGUAAACGCAGGUCAGCACACUGCGUUGAAUACGUUCUCGGGCCUU